rfam:Methanohalobium evestigatum Z-7303, complete genome.
GGGCCCGUAGUCUAGCAGGUUAUGACGUCGCCUUCACACGGCGGAGGUCUCGAGUUCGAAUCUCGACGGGCCCA